AGCUAAAAUGACAAUGAAGGGGGAAGUUAUCAUCAUGGGUGACUUUAAUCUUCCUGAUGUAAAUUGGAAAACAAAAUUAGCUACUUGUGCCAGGAGCACACAUAUUCUAAACUCCCUACUGGAUUGUCUCUAAAACAAGUUGUUGAGGAGCCAACUCGUAAAGAGGCCAUACUAGAUUUAGUGUUAACAAAUGGAGAUUUGGUAUCAG